rnacentral:rRNA from 1 species
ACGAUGAAGCUGGAGCUUGCUCCGGUGGAUUAGUGGCGAACGGGUGAGUAACACGUGAGCAAUCUGCCCUUGACUCUGGGAUAACUGCGGGAAACUGUAGCUAAUACCGGAUACGACACCUUGGGGCAUCCCAGGGUGUGGAAAGAAUUUCGGUCAAGGAUGAGCUCGCGGCCUAUCAGCUAGUUGGUGAGGUAAUGGCUCACCAAGGCGACGACGGGUAGCCGGCCUGAGAGGGUGACCGGCCACACUGGAACUGAGACACGGUCCAGACUCCUACGGGAGGCAGCAGUGGGGAAUAUUGCACAAUGGGCGAAAGCCUGAUGCAGCAACGCCGCGUGAGGGAUGAAGGCCUUCGGGUUGUAAACCUCUUUUAGCAGGGAAGAAGCGAAAGUGACGGUACCUGCAGAAAAAGCACCGGCUAACUACGUGCCAGCAGCCGCGGUAAUACGUAGGGUGCAAGCGUUGUCCGGAAUUAUUGGGCGUAAAGAGCUCGUAGGCGGUUUGUCGCGUCUGCUGUGAAAAUCCGAGGCUCAACCUCGGACCUGCAGUGGGUACGGGCAAGCUAGAGUGCGGUAGGGGAGAUGGGAAUUCCUGGUGUAGCGGUGGAAUGCGCAGAUAUCAGGAGGAACACCAAUGGCGAAGGCACAUCUCUGGGCCGUAACUGACGCUGAGGAGCGAAAGCGUGGGGAGCAAACAGGAUUAGAUACCCUGGU